GCUUACGACCACACCGGCCUGAGUACGCCUGAUCUCGUCUGAUCUCGGAAGCUAAGCAGGGUCGGGCCUGGUUAGUACUUGGAUGGAGACCUGCCGGGAAUACCAGGUGCUGUAAGCU
rnacentral:rRNA from 1 species